GUAAGCAGCUGAAACCCACUUAGAAGUGUUAGGUGAUGAAGGGUAAGAUGUCAAGGAAACCAAGAACGGGAGGAUAAGAGGGAAAGAUAGAGCCAAAAAAGCAGCAGGGGAGCAUAGCAGGGAGGAGGUAGGGAGAAAGGAGGUCCAGAGGGAAGGGGAGAGAGAUGAAAAAGUAAAGUCAGAGCAAAAGUGGGAAGGAAAGGAUGGACUGGGGGGGGCCCACUUUAAGGAAGAUGACAACAAGAUGAGGAGAUGGGGUGGAGAGGAAGAGAGAAAAUUUUGGAGGACUGACAGAGGGGUGACAAUUAAUUGGAAAAGAAGAAAAUGGGAGGGGGUGACAAGAGUGAGAGAAAAAGGAGGCAGAAGAAGUUGCCAAAGAGUUGAUCGAGUGACUGACAAGGAGUGAGAGGAGGCGGAAAGGAAGAAAAGAAAAGGGGGUUGACAAGCAAUAAAAAGAGCAGCAAGAGAAAGUAGACGCGCAAAGGGAGGUAAACGGAGAAGGAGGGGAAGGGAGAAGUGAGCCUGAGAAUAGACCGACUGGAGGAGGGAGAAGGUGAGGGAGAGACAGACACUGUAACAGAGGCAAAUAGAAACACAGUAAGAGGUGCGGAGACAGAAACAGAGAAAGACCAGACGGACAGACCCUUCCCCAUCAACUAACUCCCAACCCGCUUCUGGACUCCCAAGCACACACACGUCCUGCCAUAUACUCACCUCCUCCGUCUCUUUCCCCCACCGUACGAAGAUUUUUACUUGUGUACUUGAAACUUCCCUAGGAGUCUCCUGAAAGGCUCCUGUAAAGAUGAGAGGAAAAUCCAAAGAAGAAACGCAGAGAAGUCAAAUGACUUAAGGUCACAAACUAACAUCAGAAGCAGAAUUUGAACACGGGUCUUCAGACUCCACUGUCAAAGCAAGAGGAAAAUCGGAAAGCAAAUAAGGUGGUUUCGGUCCUUGUUAUUCAAUUUGCCCCUGACUCACAAGGGAUGCUAAUGUCUACUUGUCUUGACCAGCCUAUAGGGAAGGCAGGAGAAAUCCCGGCAGCAGCUUAAGUCUGACAUAGAGGAUCAGCAAAGCGGAAAAGUUUUUUUUUUCAGGCUCCUGGUGGAAUUUUAUAUGAAUGGGUAUUCCAGGGGAAAAUUCCAUGGGGUCGGAACUAAUUAUAGGAAGUUGCCUUGUACCUGAAAUUCGGGGUUACCUGAGAAUACCCUACGCCUACUUCAGCUCACUAAAACAGUACUUCAGAUCCUCUGCCGAAUUUCUCUAACCACUUCAGACACACAUCCUAGCUUUUAAUUCAGGGAAUACUGUGUGAUCGAAGCAUUUUUGAGAUGCCUAAUGUGUGCCAAGCAACGUGCUAAGCUUUGAGGAAUGCAAAAGAGGGUCCCAAACCCUUCUGCAAGGCAAAAGAGACUGCCUCCUCUCAAGGAGCUCUCAAAUGGUUCCGCAUGAAACGUCAGGCAUAAAAAUCAAAGGAUCGAAGAAUGUGACAGCUGGAAAAUACCUCAGAGAUCAUUUAGCCUAACCCAUUUUUCAAAGAAGAAAACUGCUUUAUGUCACUUCGGGCUGUCUUAAGUUUUUCCAUUUACAUUUGUUUAUUUCAAAGAAGAGGAGAUAUGGAGGACUCCAACUCUAGCUCACGACCUUCUCAUCUUGCUCACGCGCGCGCACACACACACACACACACACACACACACACCCCCUCUACCACCACCACCAACCUCACAUCUGUGACAUGGGGAAGGCUAAGAUAAAGGGAAGGGAAGGACUUCCUUCAGACUGCUUGGUGACUCAGCCACUUGGAGUCCUGACUCCAUGCCCAGUGAUUUACUCACCAGAUCAAACUCCUCUACAUUGUAAAUCACUAGCAUAAGAAAUGCUGAAUAGUGAAAGAAAUGGGACUGAGAUGAAGGGAACCAGUCAGGCACACUUCCUCAUUUAUUGAUUGCCUUUUAUUCACAACCUCAUCAAUAUCCUUCCUCAUUUACUUCUGCCAGUUACAACCUCUGGAUACCAGCAUCUUUACCAGUUUGUUUCCCCGACAAAAAGAUGAUUCCAAAAAUGUCUAAGGGAUUUAAAAAGGCCUAGGCAGGAAGGGUUCCUUUAUCUCUGCUUCAAGAGGAGGGAUGGGGGGAAUAAAAUCAUUUGAAAUAGAGAACUGUUCAACUCACUGUGAGAGUUAAAAAAAAAAAACCACAGUGGAAAUUCAUCUGAGGUCUCAAAUCCUGAGGGCUCUCUGUUCUAGGAAGAGGGAACCCAAAGUUGCAUCCCUUCAGGAAUUUCCCAAGUAUGUUAAUUCUAUUGUCAGUGUAUUUAGAAAGGGGAUGUUAGGAGGGGAUAGACUGGGUACGAGGUAAGGCAGCAUCUCCCAGUACCAAGGAGCUCCAGUUUAUCAAUUCAUUUAUGGAUUUUCCACUUGCCAAAACCAAAACAGCAGAAUCACUACUAGCUAGGUCAUGUGCAACUUUCAUCCCCUUGUUUCUUACUCUUUCCUUGAGCCAAUUCCAUGACUCAGCAGCACAGAUGGAUACAUCCCCUGGUGCUUUCAGAAUCAAAUAUGUUGCACAAGAGAGAAAAAAAAUUUAAGGCAUUCUGGCUGAAGACAAGGACCUGGGCAUUUCCUAAAAUUAGAGAACUGAGCCUACAGUGAAAGAUCACAUUUCAAUCAGUGUUGGGGGAGGAGAGGGGAAGGAACAAGUAUUUAUUAAACAACUAUUAGGUGCCAGGCAACAUACUAAGUGCUUUACAAAUAAUGUCUCAUUUGAUGAGGGUGGAAGAUGGGCUAAAAUAGGCUCUUUCUCAGUAUGUGCCCACUCGAACAUAGAAAUUGACACAGGACUAGAGGAGAACGUCACAGAGAUAGAGUAUAAAGCAAACGCAGAAAAGUUCAAGAUAGACAGAAAGGAAUUAUAAGUAAAGGAAAUAAAAAUGCCCAAUGUGUCCAUGUCAUAUAUUAGGAGAGGUAGUAAGAGGUGGGAGGUCCCUUUUGAAGAAGCAAUUCACAGAAAGAGCAUUUGUGUGUCACUGCAUUGAUGUUAGGAUGAGGGUGAGUGUAUUUUGUACGUGUGACUAUAAAGGAAAUAAAAUGCAGCUUGC